UGAGUUAAGUUUACCACUGUCAAAAAGUUGUGUGGAUAGACCCACGAGGUGGUACUGUAUAUUCAUCCUUUAGAGAUGGGGUGGUUCUACCUGCCUUGAAGAAAGCAAUGGUGUGCCCCCAUCUUUAAGAAGCCAUCAAGCUCAUGUCUCUGCCUGGAGGCUGUCCAGGUCCAAGCAGUAAGUAAAUUCUUUUACUUACUCCCCAAAGCACAGAAGUAUGUGGAAUUUGAUCUUUCCAUCCCUCCACGUUGCAGGCUUUCAGUGAACUUUAGUUGGCAUUAUCUUGAAACUAUGCUGUCUUGUGGGAGAAAGUCAGGAGUGUGUGCUAGCUUGAUAUAAUUCCUCUUUGUCUAAUUUAUGCUAAAAUAUAUGCCCUAAUUAUGCCUUUGAAGGCUGAGAAGUUGCGGAGGUAUUGGCGCAAAAGAAGAUAAUAAAGGAGGAUCUCUGCUUCAGAUUUUCUUUUCCUGUUUGGCAACAUCAGCAACUAGAUGUCCAAAAGGCCUUAUUUCAGCCAUGUCAUAAAUAUCUUUAGUACUCUGGAAGAUCCUCAGUUGCAUGUUGAAUGCCAUCUGACCUGAGAUGCCCAUCAUCUGGCACUAUAUUUGAAACACCCAUGAGGACUAGUAACUUUAAAAAUAAGAGGGGAAAAAGCUACAUUAUGCCCUGAAAUGUAACAAGAUUCUACAUGCUGUCUGCCGCCUGCCCCCGGGUUAACCCAAUGAGUCAGACAAGCCUUUUACUCUAUUUGUUUAGCAGGUAAGGCAUGGCUUAUAUCAGAUAGAUUUCUAACUCACUCUCUCCUGCUUCUGGGUGUUCGCUGCUGUUGAAAGUGAUGAC